UCGAGAAUCAUUCACAAUGGGGGCAACCCUGAUGGUGCAACGCCGCGUGGAGGAUGAAGGCCCUAGGGUCGUAAACUCCUGUCAUAUGAGAGUAAGGCAUAUUAGUUAAAAGCUGGUAUGUUUGAUAGUAUCAUAAGAGGAAGGGACGGCUAACUUCGUGCCAGCAGCCGCGGUAAUACGAAGGUCCCGAGCGUUAUUCGGAAUCACUGGGCGUAAAGGGAGCGUAGGCUGCGCGGUAAGUCAGAUGUGAAAUCUCAGGGCUCAACCCUGAAACUGCAUCCGAUACUGCCGUGCUAGAGUAAUGGAGAGGUAAGUGGAAUUCUCAGUGUAGCAGUGAAAUGCGUAGAUAUUGAGAGGAAGACCAACGGCGAAGGCAGCUUACUGGACAUUUACUGACGCUGAGGCUCGAAGGCUAGGGUAGCGAAAGGG
rnacentral:rRNA from 1 species